GUCAUAAUGCGCCAUACAAUAGCGUCACUCCUUUUCCACGAAUGCUUUCAAGUUUUUCGCAUUUGUGAACAUUUCAUGUUUGACGCCGACUAAACCACAUAACGUAGCAGGUGACACUGUGGCUUUAAAAGCGAACAGUUGCCUGCAUGUUCAGUCUCGUGAUCUUUCGUCGGACUCUUACAUAAGUAUGGUCGUUAAUGUAUUAAUCAUACAAACAAAAUAUAAAUAUCCAUACAGUCACCGUACGUAGCAUAUAUUUAUCGAUUUUUCAAGCACUGUUGGAGAGUUUCGUUGCAGUUUGAUCCUGUG